UACGUAGGGGGCAAGCGUUAUCCGGAAUCAUUGGGCGUAAAGCGCGUGUAGGCGGUUCCGUAAGUCCGCUCUGAAAGCCCAGGGCUCAACCCUGGGAGGCGGGUGGAUACUACGGAACUGGAGUACGGAAGAGGAGAUUGGAAUUCCUGGUGUAGCGGUGAAAUGCGCAGAUAUCAGGAGGAACACCACAGCGAAGGCAGAUCUCGUGGGGACGU
rnacentral:rRNA from 1 species